GAUGAAGAACGUAGCGAAAUGCGAUAAGUAGUGUGAAUUGCAGAAUUCAGUGAAUCAUCGAAUCUUUGAACGCACAUUGCGCCCUAUGGUAUUCCGUAGGGCAUGCCUGUUCGAGCGUCAUUCAAACCUUCAAGCUCUGCUUGGUGUUGGGCGUCUGUCCUGCCUCACGGCGCGGACUCGCCUCAAAUCUAUUGGCGGCCGGCACGUUGGCUUCGAGCGCAGCAGAAACGCGAACUCGGGACCGGCGGAUCGGCUCCCAGAAGCUACCCCCAUGAAUUUGACCUCGGAUCAGGUAGGGAUACCCGCUGAACUUAAGCAUAUCAAUAAGCGGAGGA
rnacentral:misc_RNA from 1 species